rnacentral:tRNA from 2 species
GCCACCGUAGCUCAGUUGGUAGAGCAACGCAUUCGUAAUGCGUGGGUCGCUGGUUCAAAUCCAGUCGGUGGCUCAA